CAGUAGCCGCGGGAAUACGGAGGGUGCAAGCGUUAAUCGGAAUUACUGGGCGUAAAGCGCACGCAGGCGGUUUGUUAAGUCAGAUGUGAAAUCCCCGGGCUCAACCUGGGAACUGCAUUUGAAACUGGCAAGCUAGAGUCUCGUAGAGGGGGGUAGAAUUCCAGGUGUAGCGGUGAAAUGCGUAGAGAUCUGGAGGAAUACCGGUGGCGAAGGCGGCCCCCUGGACGAAGACUGACGCUCAGGUGCGAAAGCGUGGGGAGCAAACAGGAUUAGAGACCCCGGUAGUCCCUGUCUCUUAUAC
rnacentral:rRNA from 1 species